CCUACGGGUGGCAGCAGUGAGGAAUAUUGGUCAAUGGGCUGAAGCCUGAACCAGCCAAGUCGCGUGCAGGAUGACGGCUCUAUGGGUUGUAAACUUCUUUUGUACGGGAAUAAUGAUUCUUACGUGUAGGGCUUUGAAUGUAUCGUACGAAUAAGGAUCGGCUAACUCCGUGCCAGCAGCCGCGGUAAUACGGAGGAUGCGAGCGUUAUCCGGAUUUAUUGGGUUUAAAGGGUGCGUAGGCUGGAGGAUAAGUUAGAGGUCAAAUGUCGGGGCUUAACCCCGUGCCUGCCGCGGAUACUGGUGGACUAGAGAGCGCAGGAAGCAGGCGGAAUGAGUAGUGUAGCGGUGAAAUGCUUAGAUAUUACGCAGAACACCGAUUGCGAAGGCAGCUUGCUAAUGCGAAACUGACGCUGAUGCACGAAAGCGUGGGGAGCGAACAGGAUUAGAUACCCGGGUAGUC
rnacentral:rRNA from 1 species